UUUGACCAAUGAGCUUACAGACCACCAGGGGCGAAUGAGGGCUACCCUUUUUGUAAAGGUGUUUUUCCAAGCUAAUUAAAAAAUGUAUACAUUUGUUUAGUAAACUCUCUCAUGUUAUUCUGUCGUAUUUAUGCUCUUUCAAUAGAAAAUUGAAGUAAUUGGUGAAAAUGAAGAAGAUGAGGAUAAUGGUAACGACGUGGGUGAAUUUGCUGCUUCAGACCUAGAGCAAAUGCAGAACCUGUUGGAAUUCAAGCAUGAAGAAGUGCAGUUCUUGGAGAACGAGCUAGAGAAC